CCGACCUUAGCUCAGUUGGUAGAGCGGAGGACUGUAGUUAUUGGAACAGAUAAUCCUUAGGUCGCUGGUUCGAAUCCGGCAGGUCGGA
rnacentral:tRNA from 1 species